AAACUUUCAACAACGGAUCUCUUGGUUCUGGCAUCGAUGAAGAACGCAGCGAAUGCGAUAAGUAAUGUGAAUUGCAGAAUUCAGUGAAUCAUCGAAUCUUUGAACGCACAUUGCGCCCUCUGGUAUUCCGGAGGGCAUGCCUGUUCGAGCGUCAUU
rnacentral:rRNA from 1 species